GACGAACGCUGGCGGCGUGCUUAACACAUGCAAGUCGAACGGUGAAGCCCUUCGUGGUUGAUCAGUGGCGAACGGGUGAGUGACACGUGAGCAACCUGCCCCUGCCCCUGGGACAACCACUGCAUACGGUGGCUAAUACCGAUUCCGACCCGCCUCUGCAGCUGGUGUGGGUGGGAAGGUUUGCGGCUGGGGAUGGGCUCGCGGCCUAUCAGCUUGUUGGUGGGGUUGAGGCUCACCAAGGCGACGACGGGUAGCCGGCCUGAGAGGGCGACCGGCCACACUGGGACUGAGACACGGCCCAGACUCCUACGGGAGGCAGCAGUGGGGAAUAUUGCACAAUGGGCGAAAGCCUGAUGCAGCGACGCCGCGUGAGGGAUGACGGCCUUCGGGUUGUAAACCGCUUUCGGCUCCGAAGAAGCGAAAGUGACGGUAGGGGGAAAAGAAGCACCGGCUAACUACGUG
rnacentral:rRNA from 1 species